GACGAACGCUGGCGGCGUGCCUAAUACAUGCAAGUAGAACGCUGAAGACUUUAGCUUGCUAAAGUUGGAAGAGUUGCGAACGGGUGAGUAACGCGUAGGUAACCUGCCUACUAGCGGGGGAUAACUAUUGGAAACGAUAGCUAAUACCGCAUAACAGCUUUUAACUCAUGUUAGGAGCUUGAAAGGUGCAAUUGCAUCACUAGUAGAUGGACCUGCGUUGUAUUAGCUAGUUGGUGAGGUAACGGCUCACCAAGGCGACGAUACAUAGCCGACCUGAGAGGGUGAUCGGCCACACUGGGACUGAGACACGGCCCAGACUCCUACGGGAGGCAGCAGUAGGGAAUCUUCGGCAAUGGGGGCAACCCUGACCGAGCAACGCCGCGUGAGUGAAGAAGGUUUUCGGAUCGUAAAGCUCUGUUGUAAGAGAAGAACGUGUGUGAGAGUGGAAAGUUCACACAGUGACGGUAACUUACCAGAAAGGGACGGCUAACUACGUGCCAGCAGCCGCCGUAA
rnacentral:rRNA from 1 species